UCAUCAUUUGAUCAUCUGAGAAAGAUACGGAUCGAAUAACAAGAUAUCAUCUUAGAGCUCUUUGAUCGAUCUUUAGUCAAUAUCUUUGGUUCAUUUGAUGCUAGAUAAAAUCUUUCAACUCAGCAGUCCACGCACAAGAAAUUAGAAUGAUAAACAGUCGAAAUCGGUGACAGCGUGCGAUGGCAAUUUCAUAGCGCUUUUCGUUUAAAACAGUCAAUUGGAAGUGAAUCAAUUGAAGUUUUCAAACUACCGAGAGAUGCCAUUGGUGUCCGAAUUCAAUGUGUCCUGAAUCAUCCAGAAUUAAUACGUAAUUCCAUCGACAA